rnacentral:rRNA from 1 species
GAUGAACGCUGGCGGCGUGCCUAAUACAUGCAAGUCGAGCGAACAGACGAGGAGCUUGCUCCUCUGACGUUAGCGGCGGACGGGUGAGUAACACGUGGAUAACCUACCUAUAAGACUGGGAUAACUUCGGGAAACCGGAGCUAAUACCGGAUAAUAUAUUGAACCGCAUGGUUCAAUAGUGAAAGACGGUUUUGCUGUCACUUAUAGAUGGAUCCGCGCCGCAUUAGCUAGUUGGUAAGGUAACGGCUUACCAAGGCAACGAUGCGUAGCCGACCUGAGAGGGUGAUCGGCCACACUGGAACUGAGACACGGUCCAGACUCCUACGGGAGGCAGCAGUAGGGAAUCUUCCGCAAUGGGCGAAGGCCUGACGGAGCAACGCCGCGUGAGUGAUGAAGGUCGUCGGAUCGUAAAACUCUGUUAUUAGGGAAGAACAAAUGUGUAAGUAACUAUGCACGUCUUGACGGUACCUAAUCAGAAAGCCACGGCUAACUACG